rnacentral:rRNA from 1 species
AUGUCGUCGUCGUCGGACAACCCCAACACGGUCACCGACCGCGGCCUCUUCAGCAAGAGCAGCAAGGACGACGCCGCCGACAAGAAGAAGAAGCAGGAGGAGAAGACAGAGGAGGAGGAGGGCGGCGGCGGGUUCAUCGACAAGGUCAAGGACUUCAUCCACGACAUCGGGGAGAAGAUCGAGGAGGCGGUGGGGUUCGGCAAGCCCAGCGCCGACGUGGCCCGGAUCCACGUGCCCCACAUCGGCCUCCACCGCGCCGACCUCGUCGUCGACGUGCUCAUCAAGAACCCCAACCCGGUGCCCAUCCCGCUCGUCGACAUCGACUACCUCAUCGACAGCGACGGCCGGAAGCUCGUCGCGGGCCUCAUCCCGGACGCCGGCACCAUCCGCGCGCACGGCGAGGAGACGGUCAAGGUGCCCAUCACGCUCGACUUCGACGACAUCCGGAGCACCUACGCGGAUAUCAAGCCCGGGAGCAUCAUCCCCUACCUGCUCCGGGUCAUCUUCCUCGUCGACGUCCCCGUCUUCGGCCGCAUCAAGAUCCCGCUGGACAAGUCCGGCGAGAUCCCCAUCCCGUACAAGCCCGACGUGGACGUGGACAAGAUCAAGUUCCACCACUUCUCCUUCGAGGAGACGACGGCCACCAUCCACCUGAGCCUGGAGAACAAGAACGACUUCGACCUGGGCCUCAACCUGCUGCAGUACGAGAUGUGGCUCGGCGACGACAGCGUGGUGGAGGCGGAGCUCACCGACUCCACCAGGAUCGAGAAGCAGGGGAUCACCAAGAUGCAGAUCCCCUUCACCUUCAGGCCCAAGGACCUGGGCUCUGCCGUCUGGGACAUGAUCAGGGGCAGGGGCACUGGCUACAGCAUCAAGGGCAAGAUCGAUGUCGACACACCCUUUGGCAACAUGAAGCUGCCCAUCGACAAAGUCGGCGGUACCACUCGCCUCAAGAAGGACGACGACGACGAGGAGGAGUGA